AUUGAACGCUGGCGGCAGGCCUAACACAUGCAAGUCGAGCGGAUGAUGGGAGCUUGCUCCUGGAUUCAGCGGCGGACGGGUGAGUAAUGCCUAGGAAUCUGCCUGGUAGUGGGGGACAACGUUUCGACAGGAACGCUAAUACCGCAUACGUCCUACGGGAGAAAGCAGGGGACCUUCGGGCCUUGCGCUAUCAGAUGAGCCUAGGUCGGAUUAGCUAGUAGGUGAGGUAAAGGCUCACCUAGGCGACGAUCCGUAGCUGGUCUGAGAGGAUGAUCAGUCACACUGGAACUGAGACACGGUCCAGACUCCUACGGGAGGCAGCAGUGGGGAAUAUUGGACAAUGGGCGAAAGCCUGAUCCAGCCAUGCCGCGUGUGUGAAGAAGGUCUUCGGAUUGUAAAGCACUUUAAGUUGGGAGGAAGGGCAGUAAGGUAAUACCUUGCUGUUUUGACGUUACCGACAGAAUAAGCACCGGCUAACUUCGUGCCAGCCGCCGCAGUAAAAC
rnacentral:rRNA from 1 species